AACGAACGCUGGCGGCAGGCCUAACACAUGCAAGUCGAGCGCGCCCUUCGGGGUGAGCGGCGGACGGGUGAGUAACGCGUGGGAACGUGCCCUUUUCUACGGAAUAGCCUCGGGAAACUGAGAGUAAUACCGUAUACGCCCUUUGGGGGGAAGAUUUAUCGGAAAAGGAUCGGCCCGCGUUGGAUUAGGUUGUUGGUGGGGUAAUGGCCUACCAAGUCGACGAUCCAUAGCUGGCUUGAGAGGAUGAUCAGCCACACUGGGACUGAGACACGGCCCAGACUCCUACGGGAGGCAGCAGUGGGGAAUCUUAGACAAUGGGGGCAACCCUGAUCUAGCCAGGCCGCGUGAGUGAUGAAGGCCUUAGGGUUGUAAAGCGCUUUCAGCUAGGAAGAUAAUGACGGUACCAGCAGAAGAAGCCCCGGCUAACUCCGUG
rnacentral:rRNA from 1 species